rnacentral:rRNA from 1 species
UACGUAGGUGGCAAGCGUUGUCCGGAAUUAUUGGGCGUAAAGCGCGCGCAGGCGGUCCUUUAAGUCUGAUGUGAAAUCCCACGGCUCAACCGUGGAACGGCUGGGUAUACUGGCGGUCUUGGGCCAUUCAGGGGCGACUGGAACAAGCGGUGGAGCGGUGAAAUGCGUAGAUAUCGGUUGGAACGCCGAAGGUGAAAACAGGUCGCUGGGGAUGUGCCGACGCUGAGACACGAAAGCCAGGGGAGCAAACGGG